UUUUCUAGCUGUCCCCAUGUUGCUGACUUGGACUCCGUUAACGGGAUUUCAAGAUGUAAAAAAAGCUUUUCUUCUUUUUUGUGAAACAUCAAACUUCAGAGAUUUCUCUCUCCUCCCCAAGUCCUCACCAUUGUUGACUCUUCUACUGAGCUCUCAUCUCCCACAACACUUCUCCUCUCAACCGUCCAAAAUUAUGUGCACAAGAACUCAUCUUCAUUAACAAUUCAUUAUACAAGAAAUAAUGAGUAAUUAUCUUCUAAAGAUGAGAGUGACGGUUCCUUCUACUCCCCGGAUGCCCAUGAUGACACUUCUUGUGGUGGUGAUUUAUUAUUUCGUCCUACAUCAGAGUUGGACAUUUUGGUGUUUAUGCCAUUUAUAUUAUUAUCAUGGUGUAUGGUUGAAUUCUCCUUUUUAGGCACUUAUGUUGUAUUCUCA